rnacentral:rRNA from 1 species
AUCUGGGCGGCGGAAUUCAGGAUGGCCGGCGCGCUCUCUCGCGGCGCGUCGGUCGUUUGAUAUUUCCGUCGCCGAUCAACCGCAGACGUCGCGACCUGUUCGCGGUCGGUCCCUGCUCGGAGGAGCCGCGUUCGAGUUCGUUGUGUACGCGUUUCGGCGCGUCACACGGCGAAGGCGCGGAUCUCUGGCUGGCCGUCGGACAGUACGCUCAACGGUGUCCGGUGUCGUCGUCUCGUACGCGCGUGCACCGGUACCGGUCAGCGACGAAUUCUUCGGGCCUCUUUCCGACCCGUCUUGAAACACGGACCAAGGAGUCUAACAUGCGCGCGAGUCGCGGGGUGUCGAGCGUACUUCGGUGCGUUCGUUACGUUGCGAAACCCGUACAUGUCGAAGGCGUAAUGAAAGUGAAUAGGGAAGAUGGUGUUCCGAGUACACGUUCCGCGAUCGUCGGUAUCGCGGCCGGACACCCGCAUUCCCGGGGCGUCUCAACGGCCCGUCGUUGAUGCGGACGGUCGUCUUUCGGGGCGGCUGUCGGUCGGCGACGAACCGA